rnacentral:tRNA from 1 species
AGCCUUGUAUUCACGUUGUGAUAAUAGAAUGCAAUUCUGUAGGGGUAGGGUUAUGUAAGCUUACCAAGGCCU